CUAAGGAGAGAUGGGUUUUCAGUUUUCAAUGAGGGGACGGUGGUGGGUUUCGAUGAGCGGAGAUGAUAGGUCUGAGUUGAUGCCGAAUCUGUAACCCAGGCGGAUCAGAGAUGGUGACAAAUUUGAGCAGAUGUCGGAUUUGGUGAGUAAAGAUGAAGAACCGAGCUCCAGCAGUGUCAUUACUUCAGAAGGUGAUGUCAGUAGCUAUUAACAUGCUGCUAUAUCUACAUAGUAUUUGGUCUAUCAAGUUCGUCCAUAGUUCCACAAGGCAUUUGUCCACCGUGGGUGAGGAUCUGCAGGUUUCUUUGCUAUAAAAAGAGUUUCAGGGGACUUGCUCUUGAAGAGGACAGUUCAUUUCAUCCGUUGCGACCAUGAAGAAAGUAUUUGAUCAGAUUAUUAGGGACCUGUUAGAAGUGCUCUUUGAUCUUUGUUUAUAAAUUGUGUAAUUUUCAUUGGUUUGGUGAUAAGUUGUUCUUGAAGUGCUUA